AUGUGGACCCGCUGUCUUUUAACACCGGCGCAUCUCCAGAUCUCCUCCCAACGACCUCAAGCAAGCUACCCCCGAAGCCACCGCUCAAGACCAAGGAAAAAAAGGAGAAUGAAAUCCGCGAUGCUUCCCCUGCUCCUCCUGCUCGCCGUGGCCGGCCCCGCCGCCGCGAAGCCGACGGCCUACGAGGCGCUCGCGGCCUUCGACUUCCCCCCGGGCAUCAUCCCCAAGGGGGUCGUCUCCUACACCCUCGACAACGCCACCGGCGACUUCACGGCGCACAUCAACUCCUCCUCCACCUGCGAGUUCUCCAUCCAGGGCUCCUACUCGCUCCGGUACAAGCCCGACAUCAGCGGCCGCAUCUCCGUCGACCGCCUCACCAACCUCCAGGGCGUCACCGUCAAGGUCCUCUUCUUCUGGCUCAACAUCGUCGAGGUCACCCGCAGCGGCGACCAGCUCGGCUUCUCCGUCGGCAUCGCCUCCGCCGACUUCGGCCUCGACAACUUCCUCGAGAGCCCCACCUGCGGCUGCGGCUUCGACUGCAACGACCUCCUGCUGCCGCAGUCCACCGCCGAGCCGAGCCUGCGCCUGCGAGGUGCGUUCUAG
rnacentral:rRNA from 1 species